CACGGUUAGGCAAACUUGUGGUGCCAUUUGUAGCUCAGGUUUUUAUGUUGGGUUAAACGGAGGCUGCUGCUGCUAAGUCACUUCAGUCGUGUCCGACUCUGUGUGACCCCAUAGAUGGCAACCCACCAGGCUCCCCUGUCCCUGGGAUUCUCCAGGCAAGAACGCAGGAGUGGGUUGCCAUUUCCUUCUCCAAUGCAUGAAAGUGAAAAGUGAAAGGGAAGUCGCUCAGUCGUGUCUGACUCUUCGCGACCCCAUGGACUGCAGCCCACCAGGCUCCUCCGUCCAUGGGAUUCUCCAGGCAAGAGUUCUGGAGUGGGGUGCCAUUGCCUUCUCCCUAAACGGAGGCUGGUUUUUUAGCAGAAACUGCAUCUUUCCUAAGCUUCUUCAUCCCCUCUCUUGUCUUUCUCACACCAGCGAUACUGUCUCAAACUCAAGCUCUGCUGUUCGGGAACCUGACCUUACGCCUAAAACGGGGGGUGGUAAGUGCUUUUAAGGGUGUGUGUAGGGUGUGUAGGUGAGGUCUGAGUGGCCCAGUGGGUAAAGAAUACCCCUGCAAUGCAGAAAACACAGGAGACAUGGGUUAGAUUCCUGGAUUGAGAAGAUCCCCUGGAGGGGGGCAUGGCAAUCCACUCUAGUAUUCUUGGCAGGAAAAUUCCAUGGACAGAGGAGCCUGGCGGGCUGUAGUCCAUAAGGCUGCAAAGGCCACUGAGCACACACACACAUGUAGGUGAGAAAGGUUAUGAUGUAAAAUAGGGUUUUAAAGGUUUGAGCGCUUCUGCUCCAGAAUCUUGUAAAUGUUCAUGCGCAAGGAGAUAGGGACAAGAGUGUCUGUUGUGAAAACUCGAGUGUAAUCUGCUACCAGUAAGAGGACAGAUAAACCAUGUGUGAAAAUAGCAAACCCCUUGCUCAUGUUCACCUUAGUCCACAAAGGACUAAAGGUUGAGGAAACUUGGGAAGUUUCAGCCUUUACAAGGUGGGUGGGGGCACUGGGUGAUUCUGAUAUUUUUUAUGCUUCUCUUUUCUACACUUCUCUCUUUAUUUGAAAUAUUUAAUGAGCGAGAUAAAAGCCCUGAUCCUCACUUACUUGCCCACUCACCUUCUCUUACACACCCCCAUGGAUAAAUGAGGAAGCAAUGUGUUUCCCACUCUUUGAUAAAUUAUGUAAGUUAAGUUUCUCUUGUUCUUUAUUCUAAGGAUACACAGGAGAACUAGGUUAUACGGAGGCUCAAUAAACUCCUGGUCUUUACAAUCAGCUGGUACUCCCAAUUGCCAUGGGGCUGGGGUUAUUGUUUAAUUGUGGUUCUUGUUUACUCAAGUCUUUCAUGAAGUAAGAAAAAUAUGUAGGAAGGAGGGAAGGAGAAUUGGAAGGAGAAAGUCAAGUGAGAAGGCAAAAGAAACUGUGAAUCUCAUAGUUUCAGUGUAAACGCUGUGGUUUAACAUUGGGAUGGUUUGUUUCCUUGCAGUUCCUAAGGGUGAAUCGGAACCACUUGGGAGAAAGCCCCUGUGAUCAACUAUAUUUUUGACCGCAGGAUUUCCUUUUUAAUUUCUCCAGCCCAUACCCAACAGAUCAUCUUUGGAAAGUCACUUUACAACUGGCUGGGAUUAUCAGGACAUGGAAGUCCUCUGUCACAGCACUGCUAGGUGCAACAGACAAGAGACCUUAGAUGGCUUUCUACACGUGCCUCUAUUCCUGUGGCAUCUCAAGAAAGAAAAGCUCCAGCAGGAGACUGGUGUAGACAUCAGAGAUGAAAGGACAGUGUCUAACAACAUGCACUACCCAAAUGAUUCUGUACUUUUAUUAUUUACCUGGACUCCAUCUUGUUUAAAAAAAAAAACUGGGGAGGGAGGCUCUAGAGGGAGGAGACAUAUGUUUACCUAUGCUGAUCCAUGUUGAUGUAUGGCAGAAACCAACACAAUAUUGUAAUUAUACUUCAAUUAAAAAUAAAGUUUGAAAAAUUUGAGGAGGUUUACAAAAGUACAUUUAUAAUAUUAUAAUAUAUAAAUCCCAACAAAAAACAGGAUGCAUCAACAUGGAUGGACCUCGAGACUGUCAUUCUGAGUGAAGUUAAAUCAGAAGCAGAAAUAUCGUAUGACAUCCCUUAUAUGCGAAAUCUAAAAGGAUAUGAUACAAAUGAACUUAUUUACAAAGCAGAGACUCACAGACUUAGAGAAUGAACUUACAGAUACCAGUGGAGGAAAGGGGGGUAGAUAGAGGAAAGGGGGUUUGGGAUGGAUAGGUACACACUGCCAUAUUUAAAAUGGACAGAAAACCAAUAAGGACCUACUAUAUAGCACAGAUAACUCAAUGCUAUGUGGCAGCCUGGAUGGGAGAGGAGUUUGGGGGAGAAUGGAUACAUGUGUAUAUAUGGGUGAGUCCCUUCACUGUUCAUCUGAAACUAUCACAGUAUUGUUAAUUGGCUAUACUCCAAUACCAAAGAUUUUUAAAAAACAGUAAGGAAACUCAGUUAAAAAGGAAAGAAAAAUGAAAAUAUCCUUUUGAAAGAAUUGUAUAUAACUUGCCUGUUAUGAGAGUCUUUGUAGAUCUUUGAAGGCACUGACUAGCUUUGGCUCUGAGCCUCCUAAUGGCCAAAGCAAAGAGGACAACACAGCUUCCUGUGAAGCCCAUCUGGAGAGGGGAAGGAGGUCCUAUUAGGGCACGUUUAUUUUUUCACAAUGACUUGAGAAUAUUCUAUACAUCUAGUGGGUGGGGUCAGUAAGCCUAAAUAUCCUGCAGUACAUAACCCUCCAUAGCAGGGUUGUCCCAUCCAAAAUGCCAAUCACAUACCUUCGAGAAUGACUGACUUUUAUGAUUCAUCGAGUCUAAAAGCCAAAAAUUCAGACUAGUAAUUCAGGAGAAGCACUGAGACCAGAAGACACUAUCCUUCUGAGACCU
ensembl:lncRNA